UCCUCCCUGUUCUAACUAAAUAAAAGUAGCUGUCUCCUUUUUAUUUUACUUCAAUUUCAUUUGAAGGUUCUAGGAUUGGAUCAUCAUGAAUAUUUCAUUUGGAUUCGGGGGAGUCUACAAUCCUGGAACAUGGGGAGGCGGAUAUAACCCAUAUAGACCUGUUAAUGGGUUUGGAUACGCUCCUCGCUAUGUUCCCCCACCCCCUAGAUGGGGCUAUGGACCAGGUUGGGGCUAUGGCAAUUAUCCUUCUUAUGGUCCUCGUGGUGGUCAUUGGGGUGGUCAUCGGGGUGGUCGUCCCAGGCACUAUCAUUGAUUCUAGAAUGAACUGAGAAGGAAGCAACCUGAGCAGUCAAGAACAAAACGAUUUGGAUCCCUUUAAAAUAUGCAAAUAUAUGUAAUAUUUACUAUACAUGUGUAUGAUAGCCAAAUUUCAAACCUUAUGCAAUUAUUCUUAAGAAAUAAUAAAUUUGAUUCCUCUCUGGCUCAUUA